GAGACGCUGGCGGCGUGGAUUAGGCAUGCAAGUCGAACGGUAGGAUCCUUUCGGGGAUCUGAGAGUGGCGAACGGGUGAGUAACACGUAGGUGAUCUACCCUCAAGACGGGGACAACCCAGGGAAACUUGGGCUAAUACCGGAUGUGAGCUAUCGCGAGAUAGUUUGAAAGGUGGCUUCGGCUGCCGCUUGAGGAUGAGCCUGCGUCCUAUUAGCUAGUUGGUGAGGUAACGGCUCACCGAGGCAGUGAUAGGUAGGCGGCCUUAACGGGUGGUCGCCCACACUGGGAUUGAGAUACGGCCCAGACUCCUACGGGAGGCAGCAGUCGAGAAUAGUCUACAAUGGUCGAAAGACUGAUAGUGCGACGCCGCGUGAACGAAGAAGCCCUUCGGGGUGUAAAGUUCUUUUAUAUGUGAGCAGUGCUUCUUAUAUUAACAGUAUGGGGAGAGAGAUAUUAGCAUAUGAAUAAGCAACGGCUAACUCCGUG
rnacentral:rRNA from 1 species